UACAGAGGUCUCGAGCGUUAGGCGGAAUCACUGGGCUUAAAGCGUGUGUAGGCGGACUUCUAAGUACCUUGUGAAAUCCCACGGCUCACCCGUGGAACUGCUCGGUAUACUGGUCGUCUUGAGCCUUCUAGGGGCGAGUGGAACAAAUGGUGGAGCGGUGAAAUGCGUAGAUAUCAUUUGGAACGCCAAUGGUGAAAACAACUCGCUGGGGAAGUGCUGACGCUGAGACACGAAAGCCAGGGGAGCGAACGGG
rnacentral:rRNA from 1 species